AGCCGUUAAAAGAUGCAACGCCGGGAGUCGUUGAAGACUGGUUCUUCUAUUGAUUUCAUGUUACAGUGCUGAGCUGCGAAAGACUGCAAUGGGCAGAAGAAGACGAUAAAGGUCCAGACAUGGUGGAGACAGCGCUUCGUCUGUAGCUUACAUUGAGUUGAGCUUUCAGCGUGUCGUGAGUGUCCUAGGACGGCUCUGUUGGUACACUGGAUAAGGUGGUAGGCCAAAUCCCUCCCAGACAGCUGACCUCCUCCUACGUCACGGUAAAGGCCAGGUCUUGUGGACACCUGAAUCACUUUAUGUUACCAAAACAGUAUGUGUUUGUAUGAGAGCUUGAUUGAUUUGACAAGAGUAGAAUGCAUUCAUUUGGAUAAAAGCCAUCCGUGAAGCUCCUCCUUAACCGAAGAUUACAGAUGUUUUUAUUCAUUUUGUAAGACAACAUGAAAUGGUGACGUAUGUAUAGUCUGUAAUGUGAUGCCGGUUCUUUCAUAUUCUGAGUGAACACAGCCUUGGUUAUGUCAGCAGUUUAAGUUGUGUGUAUGAAUCAGGCACAAUAAGAACAGGUGCAUUUAUUAAUAAAGCAAAUAGGGUCAAUUUUGAUUUCAUGUUGUAAAGUGUUCGAAACCCUCAGAUGGUCCUAUUUGUUGCAGUACAAAUGUAGAAUAGUAAGAAAGUAGAAUCCAGAGCGUAUUGGAGUAGGUGACCUGUGCAACAUCCUUCUAGCAUUAAGAGGCGGGAUGCUGCAUCCACUGCUUGCCUUGUCUCCACGGCGACCUCCGCAAAGGCUGUCAAGUCAACUCACCAUCAGGCCACCGUUUGCCUCAGUGAACAUUCAACGCUGUCGGUGAGUUUGAGCUAAAAUGAAAAAAACCAUCGACCGUUGAUUGUACCCUGCGGCCGAGCCCUACCGAGCCUGCCCUCCACCCAAACACACACGCACGCCUGUGUGUACCACCGAGACAUGACGGCUCUGUCUACCAAUGCUACUGGCAACCUCGAACGACUCCUGAAAACUUUGACUUUGAAAACUACAUUAAAGGUCACAAUCAACAUUCAUUGCUGUCGGUGGGUUGGACUGUGAAAGAAAGCUCACUGAACAAUGAAUGCAACUGUGUCCCAGAUUUCCUUCUCGCAAAGUGGCAUCGGAGAUAAAUAUUAAGUGACAUAUCUGGAUAUACUCAUUUGCUCUUUUCGUUGAGUUUGUUUGUGGCUCUGGAUGGCAAAAGAACACCAUGUCUGCAAACUCAAAGAGCCCCUUUGAGGCUAAUGAAUAUUUGCUUUGUAUAAUAAAUAAAGACAAGACAUCCAAAUGCAUCACUGAUGUUCUAAGAAAAUGCCUAGUCUAAUCCUAGAUAUGCUAUGCCUUUGUAAUUUAUUGGUACCAUGGCAUUGUGGUUAGCGCUCAUGUUUCAGACAUAUUAAGCUGUGGUGCUUAUGUGGAAAAUGCAGGUUCGAUUCUGACAUUUGUUGUGUCCAAUGUUUCUCUAUAUCCCUAAAUAUUUUCUGUACCCUGUCUAAUGUCUGUCAGUUAAGAGCAGCAAAAUAACUAUUUAUUUUUGUGUCAAUAUUUACAGCUGUUAACAGGAAGUUCAAUUCAGAAACAUUUUGUUUCACCAUUAAUAUUAUUAUUAUUAUUAUUUAUGUCAGCAAACCCAAAAGCGCUACAAAAAGAAAAAUUCUCAGUUUCCAUUUAAGAUGAUUAUUAUUUUAGUUUUAUUUUAGUUUUACUUUUUACGCCAUUUUUAUUUGCAUUAUUAUUAAUAAUAAUAAAAUACACAAUAUUUAUCUAUUUAUUGUUAUCACUAUGUAUCCUGUAACAAAUGGCUGAUGGAAACAUGAAUUGCAUGUUCUUUUAUGCAAUAAAUGGAAAUAUAUGGUUUAAAACAAUAAAAAAAACAUAAAUAAAAUCAUUGGAUAUCAUUUGAAAUGUGCAGCUUUAAAAGUUCUUGCUCUUCAACCAUAAAUUCAAGGGUUGUGAGAUCAUACACUAUACGUCAGGAUUAACUUAACUAAACCGAUCACGGUGAAAUCUGAGGAGGAACAGCAUGCAGCAUUUAGAGGCCGUAUCUUAAUUAGAGGCAAACGGCUUUACUGUCCGUUUCUAGGCCAAUCCAAGAUUAUGUCACAUUGCUGGUAGUUUAUGAAAAAUUAAUCCAAAUUAAAUUUGUCAAGAAGCUGAAGUGUUUUAUCGUAUCACUGUGGGUGAGAGUCCCUCGGCACCUCGGUGACAUUGCUGACAGAGAUAGACUCCGCUCGCCGUCUGAGUUUUUGUUUUUUUAAACAGUCAAUCCAUGGGAUUAAUUAACAUCAGAUUACCGCUCCAUCAGAGACCUGCUGUGUGUGAUUUCUGAACGCUGGAUUGCUUUACGGUGGCGUUGCGGAUGCUGGUGUGUUGAGUGAUUACACUCAAAAGAGCUAUUUGAUAAAACUGUCAUGAAAUAAAAUCAAAAAGUGAAGGACAGGAGAUUUGGAGGGUAUUAACCGAUUCAAAUCAUCUUUAUGUCUUGGGUGACCUUACAAACAAGUUGCCUACUGAUGGCCUUCAUUUUUUAAAGGAAUAUUCCGGGUUCAAUACAAGUUAAACUCAACCGACAGCUUUUGUGGCAUAAUGUUGAUUACCACAGAAAGUUAUUUCGAAUCGUCCCUCCUUUUCUUUAAAAAAGCAAAAAUCGAAAUUACAGCGAUGCACUUACAAUGGAAGUGAAUGGGGGCCUAUUUUUAGAGGGUUUAAAAGCAGAAACAUGAAGUUUAUAUUUUUUAUAAAAGCAUUUACAUUAAUUAUUCUGUUAAAACUCAUGUAUUAUUUGAGCUGUAAAGCUGAUUAAAUCUCCAUUUUUACAGUCAUUUUAGGGUUUGUUGACAUCACAUCUUCAUGGCUACAAAGUUGUAAAAUUGGCUAUAACGUUACACAGAAAAAGUUAGUAAGUGAUUUUGCUUCACUAAAAUCAUGUCAACCAAAUAAAGUUUAUUUCUUGUAGCUAUACUUUUGAAAUAGCAUUUUAACAUUUACGGAUUGGCCCCCAUUUACUUCCAUUGUAAGUGCCUCACUGUAACCCAGAUUUUUGCUAUUUUAAAGGCAAGUCAAAAUAAAUUUUGGUGGUGUUCAAUAUUAUACCACAAAUGCUGUCGAUUGAGCUUAACUUGUGAACCUGGAAUAUUUUUUUAAGUCUAAAGUGAUGUUGGAUGCUCAGUUCAUCAGAGAAAUUGCACAUUUUCUUUAAUAAUACUGUACUGUUGAUAUAAUCA